GGUCAUAACUCAGUGGUAGAACACUCGUCUGGCACACGCGACACCCUGGGUUCGAUCCUCAGCACCA
rnacentral:tRNA from 1 species